UACGAAGGGGGCUAGCGUUGCUCGGAAUCACUGGGCGUAAAGCGCACGUAGGCGGAUUGUUAAGUCAGGGGUGAAAUCCUGGAGCUCAACUCCAGAACUGCCUUUGAUACUGGCGAUCUUGAGUCCGGGAGAGGUGAGUGGAACUGCGAGUGUAGAGGUGAAAUUCGUAGAUAUUCGCAAGAACACCAGUGGCGAAGGCGGCUCACUGGCCCGGUACUGACGCUGAGGUGCGAAAGCGUGGGGAGUAAACAGGAGUAGA
rnacentral:rRNA from 1 species